rnacentral:lncRNA from 1 species
AGCUUCUUCAACUCGUUCUGUCCGGUGAGGAGUGAUCCAGCUUGGGCUGACGAGGGGCUCCGGAGCCUUCACGUUCAGUGCUUUUUACCUGCCAAUCAAACUGCUACAAGACAACACCCUGAUCUGGCAUGGUCGCAUCGAACCUAGAAAUUGUACUCUCCUCAAGAUCCGCUUGAGAGAAUCUGACUGAUGGCUUUGGUCUGAGAGUUCAGACAUCUCUUGUGAUACUAAGAAAGAUUCCUUUUCCAUUUGCUGGAUCCUCCUGUUUUGUCAUCCCUGAGUCCUGUAAGAAGCUCAUCAGGAGGUCCCCUGCGCUGGAAGGACCAUGUGAGUUCAUCCCAGACGAUGGGUGGCACCAUGGUUUUAGCAGCUCACACAAUGGAGAACCACAUUCUCUCUGGAAGAGCUUGGCAACAUGUAUUUGGUAAACACAGCAAGGGGCAAGGUCUCAUGUAGCCCCGGUUGGCCUAGAGCUUCCUGUGUAUCAACAACUCACUACUUAGCCAAACUUAACCAGGAGCUUCCUUCUGAUCCCCAGGCCUCUGUUUCACACGCUCCUGGUUUAAUGCUGUGCUGGAAAUCAGAGAAACUCAGAUUUUCUUUUUCUUUCUUUUUUU